GAUGAACGCUGGCGGCGUGCCUAAUACAUGCAAGUCGCGCGAAUGGAUUAAGAGCUUGCUCUUAUGAAGUUAGCGGCGGAAGGGUGAGUAACACGUGGGUAACCUGCCCAUAAUACUGGGAUAACUCCGGGCAACCGGGGCUAAUACCGGAUAACAUUUUGAACCGCAUGGCUCGACAUCGAAAGGCGGCUCCGGCUGUCACUUAUGGAUGGACGAGGGUCGCAUAGGCUAGUUGGUGAGGGAACGGCUCACCAAGGCAACGAUGCGUGGCCGACCUGAGAGGGUGAUCGGCCACACUGGGACUGAGACACGGCCCAGACUCCUACGGGAUGCAGCAGUGGGGAGUCUUCCGCAAUGGACGAAAGUCUGACGGAGGUACGCUUCGUGAGUGAUGAAGGCUUUCGGGUCGUAAAGCUCUGUUGUUAGGGAAGAACAAGUGCUAGUUGAAUAAGCUGGCACCUUGACGGUACCUAACCAGUAAGGAACGGCUAACUACGUGCCAGCCGCCGCCGUAA
rnacentral:rRNA from 1 species